AGUAGCUUAUAUUCAGACUAGUCCCUGCAGCACUAUUCAGAAACACAUUUUCUAUUUACAUUUGUCUCUCCCUGCUCUCAUUUUACUUCCCAGAGCUUUUCUCCCCAUGCUGUAGUAGGCCUGAAUUUUGAUGAGGCCAAAACACAAAGCAGUCAUCAUGAACGACUUAUUUAGAUGCACAACUUUUAGCAUACUGCUGAUUCGGUUACUACAUCAGUCAAGUUUCUUGACUACUCUUCCCAAAACAUAGUAGUUCCAGAAGGAUUUGGAGGAGCACUACAAUAGCCCAGAAGUUGCAUUUGUUCUUGCUUUUGCUGUUGUCCAGCCCUGAUUAGAAGAAAUGUUCCUAUUAGCUAAUUGCUUUCACAGUAGUGACAGAUGGAUGAAGGGUGCAUGUACUGAAAAACCGAGAGGAAAAGGGGUUAAUGUUGCAGAUCACCUCAUUCCCCUCUUAUUUAGGCUUCUCUAAAGCUGUUGAUUAAAUGGAGUGAUUUCUGACUGGGUCUGGAGUGCUGACUGGAGAAUCAGGCCCAUGAGGCUUGGUGACCUCUGGGUGAAGGCACUGCAGGUGUGUGGCUAACAAGGUACUAAUUGGUACCAGCCUGAGGAUAAAAGCAUUUACAAAAGUUUGAUUGAGAGGCAGUGUUGUACCCUGAAGAUCUACAAGCACUGAGCUUUGUGGCUGGGAGGAGCCAGGAACUAGGAACUACUUUCCUUGCUUAUUCACUUCUGGAACUUUCAAUGUGACCAUUUCUGUGAGCUGUUCUGGAGAGGAUCAAGAGAUCACUGCUUUUUCUCAGGCUCAUGGGCAUCAAGCAAGCAUUUGCAGAGCUAAGUAGGAAAACUGUUGUGUUGAGAAAUCAUGUUUAACUGUCUUUUCUUUUCUGUCCUGAGGAUGUGAAUAAUAGGUACUGGAGAUUCCAUGACAUAUGUCCAUUGAGAAUCAGCAGGAUCAGCAGAUGCCACAAUAUAACUGUCAUCUUCAUUGGACCUGCUGCCUUGCUGUUUGCAGUUCACCAGAGCACCCCAUCCUGCCCACAGUGGCUCCCUGUGCUCUCAAUGGGGAAUGUGUGUUUCCUGCACCCUAGGAUUUAAUUGCACCAAGGAAAAAUGCGAUGCAGUCAGCAGCAGGGGGGCUUUUCAAACCCAGAAAGACCAUGGAUUCUUUUUCUCUUUCAUUCUUUAACUGCUUUCUCAUUUACAUUUAGAAAAAUGACAUAUAGUAAUUAGGUUCCCUACUCUGACAAAACUUUAAAUAGGCUUCUUUAAAAAUAGCUUUAUUUUUUUUUUCUUCAUUUUCAUUUUCUUUAGGAGAUGAACAAUAGAACCAGUCUGCUUUUUUAACUUUUUUUUUUUUUUUUUAACAGUAGUCAUUUGUAAAUGCAGGCUGAAUGCUGACAGGUUUUGACUAACACAAAAAGUUGUGGAGUCUAUUGUGGCACUUCUCCUUCUCUUUUCCUUUCUCCCCCUCCGCCUCUCCCUUUUGCCUCUUCCUUUCACUCACCAUUGACAACGUAUGCAUUUGUAAUUGAAGAAAUUCUAUACUUAACAACUUAACAGUUGUAUGAGUUGUUGCUCUUGUCAGUGGCAUGGCUGCUGUUUCCACAAACUAAACAUGUUUCACUCUUAAUUUUCCAUUGAAAGACAUUGGAAGGUUCCUGAAAUUAAUGGUGUAAGACAAGUUUACAAACUGGUAGGCUCUGAUGUGAAAAUUAGCAUGUCUCCUUUGUAGGGGCUAAGUAUAGCAGGUUGGAAUAACGGUGAGCAGCCUGCAUAAAGC
rnacentral:lncRNA from 1 species